GUAUGACGAACCGGCAGUGACGUUGCAUGGUCGUGGGUCACGAGAUUGCUGUGUUCAAUUUUCAUUUACCGUGCCCAAGUUUAAAAUUCAUAGCCAAGUUCCUGACUGAGGUCAGAAAAUUGCCUAACUUCCAAUCGGCUACUCACAAAACUAAGAGUCUCCACUGAAUGCCCAAUACCAGACAAGACCACUGGUUAGCACGUCAGACGAGGCAGAAUGUCAGAAGGAGAUAGGCCGCCACCGUACAGUCCGUAUGAUCCGCGCGUUGAGCAUGACAACCUCCAACAGAACCUUCAGCAGGGAAGCUCGCGUAAGGCGUAUGGCAGUACAGGCCAACAGCAGCAACAGCAGGAGCAGCAGCAGCAGCAGCAGCCACCACAAUACACGUACACAGACUUUGGGUAUCCCCAGGGCUACCAGGUGGUGGCGGGCAGCGUCGAGGAGUAUCGGGAGGGGGUGCCACCGCCCGGCUACGUGCCACAGAUGGCGUAUCCACAGCAGCAGCCGAGCACUGUGAUCGUACAGCCGAGCCACACGCAGGUCGUCUACGUCGGAGGAUGUCCGGCAUGCAGGGUGGGCGUGCUGGAGGAUGACUUCACGUGUCUCGGCAUAUGCUGUGCCGUGCUUCUCUUCCCACUCGGAAUCAUCUGCUGCCUCGCGAUGCGGCAACGACGCUGCCCCAACUGCGGUGCCGUAUUCGGAUAACCUGGCAUCACUCGCCACUCGCCAUAUCGUGGCCGACACUCGCUCUUCCUCGUAUCCUCGAACCCCGUCCUCACUGCAGACGCAUCGUGGGGGGGGGGUCCAUUUCUAGCAGACACGCAGUGUUAGGUGUGUCCACCCCUAACAGACGUGCAGUGUUGGGUGUGUCCACCCCUAACAGACGUGCCGUGGUGGGUGUGUCCAUCCCUAGCAGACACGCAGUGUUGGGUGUGUCCACCCCUAGCAGACACACAGUGUUAGGUGUGUCCACCCCUAGCAGACGCAUCGUGGGGGGUGUGUCCAUUCCUAGCAGACAUGCAGUGUUGGGUGUGUCUGCCCCUAGCAGACAUUUUGUGUUGGGUGUGUCGUGGUGAGUGUACGUGCGCACUGCUAGCAGACCUUCUGCGAUGGGUGUCCACCUCUAGCAGAGAUGCUCACUGGCGCAUUUGCUAGAUAUGUGCUUACCAUACUGUCAUAAGAUAUUGUCUUAGCUAUUGGAUGUUGUGUGAAGUGGUGCCGUUGCCAUUAUCUAAAAACAUUGCAUUUUAAUCUAAAACCAGUGAAUCUAUUGUAUCGGCACAUACAGGCUACGUGUGUGCUCUGUUCAGCCAAUAAGCAGCUCGUCAAACACAAAAUUACAUCUGCUUUAUGUUACCUGGACUUGUCAGAUCCUCUGAUGUAGUCCGUAAGUCCAUUACAGUCCCAAUGAAUCGAAUUAUAUCGUAAACACUACGUAAUUCCACAGUGAAUGGUGAAAUAAGGAGUAGAUGAAUUAUGUACACUCUUCGUUUAACUAAACGUUGGCAGGCUUGAUAACAGAAGACAAAUCCUGACCACAGAUGCACGGGUAGCCUCUAUGAUUGGCUGAUGCUACAGAUUCAGGCACUGUAGUCCUAAAUAUCAAUCCGCUUCAGCUGGCUUUGAGGCACUUCUGUAUAUGUACUAGAGUAACUCUAGAUUAAAUUAAAUAUUUUUACAAACAAA